CCUACGGGUGGCAGCAGUAGGGAAUUUUCGGCAAUGGGGGGAACCCUGACCGAGCAACGCCGCGUGAAGGAAGAAGGAAUUCGUUCUGUAAACUUCUGUUAUAAAGGAAGAAAGACGGAUGGAGGAAAUGACAUCCGAGUGACGGUACUUUAUGAGAAAGCCACGGCUAACUACGUGCCAGCAGCCGCGGUAAUACGUAGGGGGCAAGCGUUAAACGGAAGUAUUGGGCGUAAAGAGGGAGCAGGCGGCAGGAAAGGUCUGUGGUGAAAGACUGAAGCUUAACUUCAGUAAGGAAUAGAAAUCGGGCAGCUAGAGUGCAGGAGAGGAUCGUGGAAUGCCAGGUGUAGUGGUGAAAUGCGUAGAUAUAUGGAGGAACAGCAGUGGCGAAGGCGACGAUCUGGACUGCAACUGACGCGCAGUCCCGAAAGCGUGGGGAGCAAAUAGGAUUAGAUACCCUUGUAGUC
rnacentral:rRNA from 1 species